rnacentral:lncRNA from 1 species
AAUGUUAAACAUUACCCUUCAUCCUGAGGUAGUUCACACAAGCAUUCCUGGCUGGUCUCACAUAUCCCAAUCUUUGUCUUCCUAGGUGCCCCAUGAUGAACCUUAAGCCCAAGCCAAGCCUAUGGCUUUAGUGCUAGCCUCCUGCUUACCUGAUAUGUAGACCUCAUUUUUUAAUGUCACACAUGCAAACUCCACCCACUUCUUAUUCUCACUCUCCAGUUCAUGCUCUGUCAGUGGGAGCUUGGCCACCUCCAGGCGACUGCGCCUCAGGGGGUCCAGGCAGGUUACCUCUGCCACAAAUCGUUCAUCCUUUGUACAGCCGCCAAUAAUCAUGAACACCUCAGACUGGAACUCAUGCAUCCUGGGCUUGGUGCGCUCCGAAAUGAUCUAGAAACCAAGAAGAGGACAUGUAAACAGAGGAAGCACAGCAUGACAGUGCAAAGUGCAGGCUGCGGAACCACAAAAAAGCAGGCCACAGUUUCCACUCCACCAUCGUUGGCCACAUGAUUUUACCUCCUUGACCAUGAUUUCAUCAUUUGUGUAAUGACUAUUUGAUCUUAACAACCCAUUAGGCUUGUUGUAU